GACGAACGCUGGCGGCGUGCUUAACACAUGCAAGUCGAACGAGUGGCGAACGGGUGAGUAACGCGUAGGUAACUACCUAUUAGAGGGGGAUAACUAUUGGAAACGAUAGCUAAUACCGCCUACUAGUAGAUGGACCUGCGUUGUAUUAGCUAGUAGGUAGGGUAAUGGCCUACCCAGGCAACGAUACAUAGCCGGCCUGAGAGGGUGAUCGGCCAAACUGGGACUGGGGCACGGCCCAGACUCCUUCGGGAGGCAGCAGUAGGGAAACUUCGGCAAUGGGGGGAACCCUGACCGCGCAACGCCGCGGGAGUGAAGAAGGUUUUCGGAUCGUAAAGCUCUGUUGUUAAGGGAGCGGUACUUAACCAGAAAGGGACGGCUAACUACGUGCCAGCAGCCGCGGUAAUAC
rnacentral:rRNA from 1 species